rnacentral:rRNA from 1 species
GACAGAGGGUGCAAACGUUGUUCGGAAUUACUGGGCGUAAAGCGUGUGUAGGCGGUCCGCUAAGUCGGGUGUGAAAGCCCUGGGCUCAACCCAGGAAGUGCACUCGAAACUGGCGGGCUAGAGUACUGGAGAGGUUGGUGGAAUUCUCGGUGUAGAGGUGAAAUUCGUAGAUAUCGAGAGGAACACCGGUGGCGAAGGCGGCCAACUGGACAGAUACUGACGCUGAGGUGCGAAAGCGUGGGGAGCAAACAGG